AUGGAAAUUGGCCGCCAUUUUCGAUCAAUGUCGCCUGCGAGGUUACGGCGGUUCUGCGUGAUCCUCAGCUAGGCUGGUGCCUUCUGCUAUAAAAUUAUAGGCUACUCGGCGUCUAAUUGCAGCGGAAAUAGCAAACAGUGCAACUAUUGAAGCUAUCAGCAGAUGCCGAGAGAAGAAACAAAUGGGAAAAUAUUUGUAGAGGCUGGAAAUCCGGCCCAGGCAGUUCGUUGUGUGAGACUCAUUUUUGAAAAAUAUCAAUUUGAACCGAAGAGGACGGAUAAAUGAAAAAAAAAUAAAAUGGGAUAUAGACAAUAUUUGACGAGCCAAAUUCACCAAAAAAUUCAAAUCAUCAAAAGCUGAAUUAGCUAAUAUAUUGACUGAGAUGAAAUUUCAAAAAAGAACAAUAAGCCUACAGUUUGAUCGAAACAUCCUACUCCAGGUGCCACCAGGACAAACCAGUUGUGCCAGAAGCCUAUAAUGUUGGGUCAUAUACAGCACAAGAGUGUGAGAUUGCUGCUUAAGCCUCAAGAUUGACUUCAGAAGUACUAUGGCUUUUGUUUAGGCAUAUGAUGUAUUGAAGACUGUAGCUUCGAUGGUUACUACUUUGCACACAGUGAGUGGACUGUUGCAUGUAUCCAGAACCACAUUACACUGUGUAACACACAUUUUGUUACUGGCUUCUGAUUAUUAUUUUCUGGGUUCCAUUA